GGAUUCUGGAAAACAGAGGGUGGCCGAUUGGAUGGUGAGCAGCGGCGGCGGCCAUUAUCGGUGAAGGGAAAGACGAAGGAGCGAAAGAAUCGGUUAACGACGUCUGGAGGCCUAUGUCCGAUUUGCUUUUAAACGGUUUAAAAGGGUAAAUUUGUCUUUCCAUAUUAUUCGUUUCUAUUAUUUUAAUUAAACUUACAAUUCCUAUAUUUUAUUCAAUCGAUCGAUGGUAUUAAAAUAUAAUUUGAUUUUUAAAUAAUGUUUACAAUUUGACAUUCUUUUAAGUUUGUUAAAUUGUAAACGUGCAAAAUUAGAUGUUUAACAUCUUUAACUUGCUUAAUUUAUCCAUAGUUGGAAAUAAUAUUUAUAAAUUUGUAAUAAAAAUAGUUGCAAAUAUGGCCGUUAGAUUCCAAAUAACUAAGUAUAUAAUAAUAUGACAAAAUCUGUAAAAAUUUAAUAAAUGUCAUAGACUAUAUUGCAGAUAUUGGUCGCAAAAAUUUUAAAAGGUUAUUAUAUACUUAAUUAUUAUUCCUACUAUCUAUUAUAAUUACUUUAUAAUAUUAUAAUAUUUUGAUAAUACUUGCAUUUACAUAUUUCUAAGUUAAAAUAUUAUAAAUUUAGAAACAAUUAUAAAAAUAGUAAAAUAAAUUAAAAUAUUUAUGAAUUAUAAUAAAAUUUUGAAUUCGAACUAUAUAGUUUCCAGAUAUAAUUUGUUAAAAAUUGUAAAAUUUACUAUUUUGUAAUCUUUUUAUAAUUUUACUUAAAAUUUUAUAAUUUAAUACAAUUUGAACUUAUCAAACAUUUCCAAUUAAUAAUAUAUAAAAAGGAAAGAAAAUGUCAAAUGAGGAUUGAUGGGAAUCUUAAAAUCCAUCCGUGUGUUCAUAGAGAAAUGUAAAGAGUAGGACUUCAACGUGCUAAAUGACAAUUUUACUACUCAAAUAGUAUUAGCCUUAUGGUUAUUUCGUUUUAUAUAUAUUAAUAAAGAGUAUAAAUUUGAGAAGAAUGCUUGAGUUCCUCUUGAUAUAUACUCUAAAAUUGGUUGAUUUUGAUGUGUAAGUCUAUACAUAUAAAUAAAUAAUAUAUAUAUAAGAUGUACUUUAUUAUUAUUUGACCACUCGAAUAUGUCCUAUCCCUAUCUUUCUUAGUAGAUAAUGCGAAUUAACUUUCGUUUGCAUUUUUGUGAACUCUAAGAGCAUCGCCGGUGAUUCUACAUAUUCUCCACUCCCCCAAGAUUGGCGCACCCAUUUCUUCAUAAAAUUUAAUCGCAUUCACAUCCCGAUCAAGCAACGCCCUCUCCACUUGACAGUAAUCCAUUUUCACCGCCUGAUUCACUACCGCC
rnacentral:lncRNA from 1 species